rnacentral:tRNA from 1 species
GUGAGUUUGGCCGAGUGACUAGGCGAUAGGCUGCAACCCUAUCUAGGAAAGUUAAAAUCUUUCAAUUCACU